AUUUGCGUAUGUUAGCCACCAUAUAUGCUUAGUGCUUGCUGCAGCUCCACCUUACUACCCUUUCCUACCCAUAAGCUUAAAUAGUCUUGAUCUCGGGGGUGUGAGAUUGCUGAGUCCUCAUGACUCACGGAUACUUCCAAACAGUUGCAGGUGCCGAUGAUACCAGUGCAGGUGACGCAACCAAGCUCAAGUGGGAGCUUGAUGAAGAUCUCGUUCGUUGUUUUGUGUCUUUUCCGGAUGAUCAGUAGUGGAGCCUAGUUGGGACGAUCGGGGAUCUAGCAUUUUGGCUUUGCUGGUCUUGUUUUACCAUUGUCGAAAUGUCUUGUAACCGGGAUUCCGAGACUGAUCGGGUCUUUCCGGGAGAAGGAAUAUCCUUCGUUGACCGUGAGAGCUUGUGAUGGGCUAAGUUGGGACACCCCUGCAGGGUAUAAACUUUCGAGAGCCGUGCCCGCGGUUAUGUGGCAUAUGUGAAUUUGUUAAUGUCCGGUUGUAGAGAACUAGACACUUGACUUAAUUAAAAUGCAUCAACCGCGUGUGUAGUCGUGAUGGUCUCUUUUCGGCGGAGUCCGAGAAGUGAACACGGUCCUUGUGUUAUGCUUGAACAUAAGUAGUUUCAGGAUCACUUCUUGAUCACUUCUAGCUUCUCGACCAUUGUGUUGCUUCUCUUCUCGCUCUUAUUUGCGUAUGUUAGCCACCAUAUAUGCUUAGUGCUUGCUGCAGCUCCACCUUACUACCCUUUCCUACCCAUAAGCUUAAAUAGUCUUGAUCUCGGGGGUGUGAGAUUGCCGAGUCCUCGUGACUCACGGAUACUUCCAAACAGUUGCAGGUGCCGAUGAUACCAGUGCAGGUGACGCAACCAAGCUCAAGUGGGAGCUCGAUGAAGAUCUUGGUCAUUGUUUUGUGUCUUUUCUGGAUGAUCAGUAGUGGAGCCCAGUUGGGACGAUCGGGGAUCUAGCGUUUGGGGUUAUCUUCUUUUAUUUUGGUUCUGUAGUCGGACCUUUGAUUGUACUCUGGAUGAUGUAUGUUUAAAUUGUUAUUUGUGUGAAGUGGUGAUUGUAAGCCAACUCUUUAUCCCUUUCGUAUUCAGUACAUGGGAUUGUGUGAAGAUUAC
rnacentral:lncRNA from 1 species